CCCACCAAAAAUAACAAGAAAGAAAGAAAGAAAAAGAUAUAAAAGUCUACUUCUUCACUUGCAGGUGUCUGCGUGUUUAGGGGAAGUAAGUCAAAUUUGCAAUUCUACUUUGGACGAGCGAGCCUGACCAGGAUAAGUUACGGCUACGUUAACCCUGUGAUCGAGUUGGACUGCACUCGAGGGACUGCAACGUUUCGAAAGAUGGCAGGCACGUAAAAGCGCACGGAUGAUUUAUUAACAGGUGUUUGACCAGUACCUGGACUAGGAAAAAGACCGGGCUGAGCACAAAGAGAAUGACGAAUUGGAUGAAGGGAUAAAUAAUUGAGCAGUUCUCUGGAAAAAGAAUUCACAUGACAAAAUUGGAAAUUGGGCGUACCUGCUUUGGUUCUAGGUUUAUUGAAUUAAUAAUAGUAAGGAUUUCUACCGA